AUUAGGAACUGGUGUAGUGCUAUGAAUGUAUGGCAUGCCCUUAUUGUUGAGACAAGCAAUGCUUCUGAUCUCCAUGGAUAUACUGUUAGGGCUUUAUACAGGGCAUUCUAACAUCAUCUGAACAGGCUGAUAUGACCAUGUUAGAAGACGAACUACCAACAAAAAGAUGACUUUCAUCAGCCCUUGUCAAGGUGUAUUGAGAUGAUUUCUUUGGAGCAAUUCUUGACAAUAUUUGUAGUUGAGGCCUUUAGAAUGGAAGAAUGUAUUUCACUAAUUUUUGUAUACAUUUCUUGUUUUGUAUUUAGUGAUAAAGGAAUCUGAAUUGGGCAUAAAUUAUGUUGUAAUAUGAUUUCUUAAGCCUAGACUAGUAGACUAAAUAUUGUAAUUACAUUUGAGUAAUUAAUAAAAAUCUAUUUAUGUUA